AAAACCCAAAGGCGUAAUAAAAGUGAAAGAAUUGUUUUUGUGCACUUGUGUACAAUUUCUUUUCGAGGGAAGAUGAAAAGAUUGUUAUUAACAAUAUUAGUUAUGGCUAUGUUUGUUUUUAAUUAAGAUUUUCAGCAUUCCCGGGGCGCUUGAUUCUUGCAUUGCAAGUCUAUGCGCACCUAGAGCGUACACGCUGAUACCCGAAAGAUGGUGAACUAUGCCUGGCCAGGACGAAGCCAGGGGAAACCCUGGUGGAGGUCCGCAGCGAUUCUGACGUGCAAAUCGAUCGUCGGAGCUGGGUAUAGGGGCGAAAGACCAAUCGAACCAUCUAGUAGCUGGUUCCCUCUGAAGUUUCCCUCAGGAUAGCUUGCGCUCGGUUGAGAAGAGAGAGUCUCAUCCGGUAGAGCGAAUGAUUAGAGGCAUUGGGGUCGAAACGACCUCAACCUAUUCUCAAACUCCAAAUAGAUGAGAUCCCCGGCUUUCUUAAAAUUGAAGCCGUGGGAUUUUUUGAUCAGAGUGCCAAGUGGGCCAAUUU
rnacentral:rRNA from 1 species